CUCGUAGGCGGUUCGUCGCGUCCGGUGUGAAAGUCCAUCGCCUAACGGUGGAUCUGCGCCGGGUACGGGCGGGCUGGAGUGCGGUAGGGGAGACUGGAAUUCCCGGUGUAACGGUGGAAUGUGUAGAUAUCGGGAAGAACACCGAUGGCGAAGGCAGGUCUCUGGGCCGUCACUGACGCUGAGGAGCGAAAGCGUGGGGAGCGAACA
rnacentral:rRNA from 1 species